ACAAGUCGCCGCCUUCAGAGUUCAGCCCUUCAACUCGCCGCCCGGCCUCCGCCUACAACCUCUCCGAGUUCGAGCGCCCGGCCUCCGCUUCUAUUUCGCUGCAGCCAUGUCUAGCCCAGACAACAAUCACGAACCUUCGCCGGAGGUGCAAUCAACCAACAAAGACAGUAAUUCCACCCCUGAUCCAGAUGUCAUAUUAAUCGACAAUGAUGCUGCUACAGACUCCAAGAUGGUUGUAGAAGGCGGUUCGGGAAAGGAAAGAAGUGAGGUGUGGAACCACUACACUAAGAAGACAUUGGACGGUGUUUUGAAAGCCGUUUGUAAAUAUUGUAGCAAGCAGUUGAAAGGUGAUUCAGGCAGCGGUACAACACACUUGAAGAAUCAUUAUGUGAAGAAACAUAAGUAGAAGCCUCAAGAGAGUAUAAGGCAAAAGCUUUUAUCAAGCAAUUUCAACAAAGAUCACCCUCAACUAGCAGCUUAUAAUUUCAAUCAAGAGGUAGCAAAAACGGAGAUAGCAAAGAUGAUUGUCAUGCAUGAAUAUCCGCUUUGUAUUGUGGAUCAGAUUGGAUUUAAGAGAUACUCAGCAGUGCUUCAGCCACUCUUCAAAGUUCCCUCCAGAAACACAAUAAAAAGUGAGAUUUUUCAUAUUUAUGAAUAUGAGAAAGCGAAGACCAGUAGCUUGUUGGAGAGUAUUUCAAGUCGAAUAGCAAUUACAACAGAUUUGUGGACUGCAAAUAAUCAGAAAAAGGGGUAUAUGGCUGUAACAGCUCAUUUCAUAGAUGGUUCUUGGAUGUUACAGAGCCGUAUUAUGAGGUUCAUAUAUGUGCCCUGUCCCCAUACGAAAGAUGUUCUUUGUGAGUAUUUACUAAAAUGUUUGAUGGACUGGAAUGUGGAUACCAAGAUUUCAUCUCUCACAGUUGAUAAUUGUUCCACAAAUGAUGCUAUGAUUGAAAUUCUGUUGGACAAGAUGGACAGUGCAUCUCUA